UCCUUACAACAGACCGAGAAGGGCACGGGUGAAAGGGAGCCUGGCAUGGGCAUGCAGACCCUGGUCCCUACAUGGACUUAGAGAGUGUUACUAUACAAAAUAGACCCUGGAUCAGCAAUGCGGUGCUAAGGGAGCCUGGCACCGGCUACUCCUGGGCUUGUGGAGAGUACACUGCUCUCCUGGACACCAUCUUGAGUCAGACAGAUGAUGAACAGUAGCGGUCUAUAAGCCUCCUAGCAAUUCUACGGAGAAAAGGGGCCAGAGAGAGACUUAAAGUGUUGGGUCACGUAUGGAGAGUUAACCGCAAAGCUGGUACCCAGAGUUGGCUGAUUCCCGAGCUGUGUUCUGAACUACUUCUCUGUGCCACCUGUGAAAGAUGACCUGACUCUGUCAUCUUUCUGUCCUCGUUCAGAUAGGUGAAAGAGAUUCCCAGCACAGUCAGGGAUUCACUCUGUGGUCCCUGUGGGAGGUUACAAGAGAAGGGCACAGUUACUGAUUUCUUUGGUUUCUUUGGAGGAGGGAACCAGAAAUUUCUUUCUUCUUCAUUUUUUUUUCUCUUCUUUUCUACUCAAAAUUGAUAUAGGUUGAUCCUAUCAAGAGUAGACAAGGCCUAUCCUGGACUGGGCAGCUGCAUUCUGGCAUAUAUCCUGGGUCUUCUAUUAGUGAACAAAUCUCCUUACUUUUCUGGGUUUCCUUUCCCUCGUCUACACAGCUCUAUCUGAUUUUACAAUGCACAGCAAUAAGAUAGGUUCUGGCCAUUCAUGUGCAAUGAUAAAAGAUAUUUAUUGCCUUUAGUUAUUCACCUAAGAUCCUGGAAACUCAGCACACACAGGGGCUUUUAGGAAUGGAUCGCACACCUAGCCCGGACUCUGCCAGAGGCAGCUCCGACACGGGCUGCAGGGCCUUGGGGAGGUGGCGCCCCUGUCCACUUGUAGACCAGCAGGGUUAGCCGCAGUCAGCCUUCUCAUCCCCUUGGCUUUCCUAGGAACGCCACGAAGCAGCAGUGAUUCCUCCACCAGAGGGCACAGUGGGAGCAAGCAGAGGCUCGAGUGAAAGCCUCAGAAGAGACAGCCCUACCAAACCCAGGAGAAUAGAGGUUCUAACUGGAAAAGUCAGCCAUGGAUUUUCCAGGAAAACCCAGCGCCAUCAGUUUGCCCAGGGAGGAGAACCAGCAAACAGUGCCAGAGAAGGAAGCACAUUCUUCAAAACAAAGAAUGAAUGAACCCGAAAGCUCCAUUCUGCUCGAGUCCCUGGGGGUUCUACUGGCUUGGCUCCUCCUGAACCCUGCCCGGGACUCCAGGACCCGAAGGAAUUUGCACUGCUUUUAGCCCAGGGCACCACGAUUUUUUUUUUUUUUUUCUGAUAUUGCUUGUUUGUUUGUUUCCACCUUAUCCAGUGUGGUGCCCAGGAAAACAAUGAAAAGCAAGUAACGAGAACCGGAUCUGGGCUGGGGAGGCUGCUCAGUGGUAGAGUGCUUCCUCACCUGUGCCAGGCCCUGAGUUCCAAUCCUAGCACCACAAAAAUGAAACAAAAGACGUAGGUCUUUCCCUUGGCUUCACUUAUGGUAAAUGAGUUUUUAAACAAAUUGCUUAGUUUCUUUGAACACCUCUACAAUCCGAGCAUAUGAAUCAGUGGUGGUGACUCUUUGAGAGCUUUUAGUCUUAACAGCCAGCUGUCAAAGGUCCACCUCCACUGAUUCCUAGCUGAUCAUGAAGACAGCUUUCAGCAUCAAGGUUCCAAAGACUAGAGAGCCUGGUUUGAAAUGGGAAAUAUAUCCUUGCAUUCACGUUCCAGUCUGUUCAACCAAGAUGCCUACGUCUCCAGUUAAAUGAAACCUUAUGGGUGAUAGUGGGCCAAGUCUCCAGUAGCUCUUUUUGUUUUUUUGUCUUGGAGACAGCGUCUCACUGUGUUGCCCAAACUGGUCUUGAACUCCUGGACUCAAACAAUGUUCCCGUCUCAGUCUCCCAACUAACUGGCGCUGCAGGCAUGGGUCAUGACACUUGGCUGUGUCCAGUAGUUCUUGUUUGUGUGUGAAGACUCUUGCCAGUGUGAUAGAGAUGGGCAUCGUUCUAUGAUACCUGAAAUUUCAUGCAGUAUACAGAGCAGUAGCAUUAAAUUGGAGUCAACCAAUGUUUGCGUUUUAUUCCAGCAGUACCGGAGAUCCAACCCAAAGCCUCAUACACACAGGAAAGCCCACUGCCGGUAGCUACAUCCCCAGGUCACACCCUGUCUUUGUGUCUCACUGGAUCGCUACUGCUGCUACUGAUUAUGUUUAUUGAGUGCUUACCUGAAAGAUUUUGAAUCUUCUAAAAAUCCCAUUACCCGGGCUCUAUCAUUAGCUCUGUUUAAUACUGGAAAUAAUAAGACCUAGAGAUUAACUUGCUCAAGACGCCAGGUUUUGUAAGAGAAAGACACAGGAUUUAAAUCCAGGAAGCCUGAUUCUGAAGCCUGAAUGCCUAACCUUUGCAUCACACAUUUUCAUCACCACGAUUGCCGAUUGCUUGCUAAUGAUGUUCAAGUGUUGCCUCCUGGGUUUCUACUCAGAGAAGAGCCGGCACUGUCAUCAUCACAUUGCAAAGUGUGAAUUGUCAGUGCUCAGAUCUUGGACACAGGUGUUUUGUUUUGUUUUGUUUUGCUUUGCUUUGUUUUUGCUGGUGGGAAUAGAACUGAGGGCUUUCACAUGCUGGGCAAGUGCUCGACCAAUAAGCUGCACCCCCAGCUGCUAGGUACUCCUUUUAUGACCUCUUACUUAGUGGAUGCGGCUAAUUCAGUCAGUUAAGGAAGUCACAGGUGUGGAGCGGGAGAAAGGGGGUAGGAAGUGAACAAAAUCAUUUCCAGCUCUGGUCCGACCACUGAGGACUACAAACAAAUCACUCAGUUUAUUGUAUCCUUAAUUUCCCUAAUAAAUGGACACAACUA